rnacentral:lncRNA from 1 species
AGACACCCUCUGCGCAGAAAGAUAUUGGAAGAAAAGGCCAAAUUGACAGCUGCCAUAGAGGAGUACAACACCCUUGUACCAGAUUCAGCAAUACCAUCUGCAGAUGAGAUCCUUUCCGCAGACCAUGCAUGGCCUUGGGAGCUGCAUGGACAAAGUAAGUAGUAUGUUUGUGUGUCACAAUAACUAUGUUUCUGUUUUGCUAUCUGUGUUUGUUCAGUUGCGCAAACACAGACAGCACUGCCCUUAAAGUUACAAAUCCACAUUGCAUUCUUAUGAAUUUACAGCUGACCUACUCACAAAGAAAAUAGCCUUUGUGUGAUGCUCCUCAGGUGAUGCUCCUGAGACGGCUGAAGGAGGAAGAGUUAAUUGUUCUAAAGGAAGUCAAGCAGCACUGGGAAAGCCUAAAGAGGGAAUCCGAGAAUGUGCAAGACCUUGCUUCACAUGUGGCACUUGACCUAAGCAGGCAAACGUUUGGCCACGUCUUCGGUUUGGUCGUUCGGCCAGAGUUUGUUUUGGUUAUGUGCGUCGCAAUGCCCGUUACGUAAUAGACUAUGUUUCUGAAUUUUCUGAUUACAUUUUUUAACUAUUCAUAAAUUAUUCUUGCGCAAUGUUACUUUUAUUUGAAUGUCAGAAACAUUGUCAGAUUCUAUUAAAUAAUUGAUGCAACAGACUGUCAUGCUCAGCGAGUUGGAGGGUUUUUUGAGGGUGGCAGGGUGACAGGACUUUCUCCCCAUCUUCUUUGGUUUGGUUUGGGUGAAGCUGGUCUCCUGAGCGGUGGGGGUUAUUGGGGGUUCAACUUGGUUAAGGAUGGGGGUGUAGCUGAUCUCCUGGGCGGUGGGGGAUAUCGGGGGUUCAACCUGGGUGAUGAGGAGGGUGUAGCUGGUCUCCUGGGGGGCAACUGUAUCAGACAGUUCUUGGGCAGCCACAGGAGGAGGGUUGGAGGGAUGUAGUGUGGAGGUAUGGGUGUUGAUUGCCACUGCGAAAGAGAACAUAUUAAGUAAAUGGGACAGAUAAGUGGACAACAGUUUCCAAU